UGAUGGAGGACUCGGUCAACAGUGGAGCAUGGAAACAGGGAACGAUCGUGUAUCUCUCAUCACACAUGGGGGAGUACUUAUCGGGCCGGUCUCUUUUGGUGAGCGGCUCCUGAUCCAAGGCCAGAUAAAGACACAUUGACACAAGCUUUAUACCUCGAGACGGAAAUGUAACCUUGAAGAUUAUUUGCCAUUGGGGAGACGAGACAAAAACACUGGUCAGGUUUCAAGAAUAAACAGAGCUUUGUGUUCACAACUUGUUUGAGCAGUGGACGGAGGAGGUGGUGAGCUGCUCCUGCUCCCAGGGCCUCUUCAUUGUCACCAUCUGGUUCUGCUUGACACCCGAGAGGCUUCGGAGGUGUUUCCUGAGCCUCAUCAGGUCGGACCAUCGAAGCUCCUCUCAGCACAGCAAUGAAUGACCUUCAUCACGUGAGCCUGUUACGAACCAUCACUCAGCCGACGGUCGUCCAGACUCUGAGCUCAUUCCUUGUCGUGUUACUAGACAAAUGAUUGUCUUCCUGUGAGACGUGCCUGGCAAGACGUGUCAAUACUGCAGGUGCAGUCGGGCCUGAAAUUGCUUUGUUUAAACUUGUCAGGUAGGAAUGGAGAUUUUUUAAGAAGGAUCCUCAUGUGCACGGUGAAGGUGCCGCGCAAACCUACAGAAGUUUACACCUCAAACUGUUGAGGGGUUUUCUUCUUUCUUUUUUUUUAAUUCAUGAAAGACUUUUAUAACCUAAAGAGUCUGAAUCUAUUUCCUGAGAGACGACUUCAAAUUAUUUUGUCAAUAGAUCUGUCAACAAUUCAAACUUUAUUGACCAUGCUUUCAAUAAACUUUUGGUUUUCUAAGUAUUGAUGCUGUUUUGUUACAGU